rnacentral:rRNA from 1 species
AGAGUUUGAUCCUGGCUCAGAACGAACGCUGGCGGCAGGCUUAACACAUGCAAGUCGAGCGCCCGCAAGGGGAGCGGCAGACGGGUGAGUAACACGUGGGAACAUACCCUUUACUACGGAACAACUCCGGGAAACUGGAGCUAAUACCGUAUGUGCCCUUCGGGGGGAAAGAUUUAUCGGUAAAGGAUUGGCCCGCGUUGGAUUAGCUAGUUGGUGGGGUAAAGGCCUACCAAGGCGACGAUCCAUAGCUGGUCUGAGAGGAUGAUCAGCCACAUUGGGACUGAGACACGGCCCAAACUCCUACGGGAGGCAGCAGUGGGGAAUAUUGGACAAUGGGCGCAAGCCUGAUCCAGCCAUGCCGCGUGAGUGAUGAAGGCCUUAGGGUUGUAAAGCUCCUUCACCGAUGAAGAUAAUGACGGUAGUCGGAGAAGAAGCCCCGGCUAACUUCGUG